AGAAGCCUCUGUGUAAUUCAUAACCUCUCCAGGAGUAUUAGUUAUACAGUGUUUAUAAAAGCCCCUCAGACAUUACUGACAUGUUCUAAUAUUAUCAGAUGAAAAACUAAAUUAUCAGACAUGCUGUCUCAUCUGCUGCUUUUCUAAACUUGUAAAAAGUAACAAAACCAUUUGAAAGCCACUAUUUGUGGAUUCUCUGAAAGUUUCCAUGGAGUGUGGGACAACUUAUGUUUUCAUUGACCCUAUCGUCUAAUCUCACAGCUGAAACAAGCAUCCUUAAUAAUCUGUGCACAGGAAGCGUACCGAUGCUGUAGUAAAACAAAAGGUAUAAUAAUUUAUUAUUAAUAAAACCUUGUUGCAGCACUAAAGCAGAAAAAUGAGAUUUUGCAAUAAACAUGCUAAAUAUUUACAUAUGAAUUGUUUUAGAGCCCUUUUAUUGACAGAAUCUGAUAUUAAUGUAGUUCUUACAAAAAAUGGGUCCCAGCGUGGUUUGUGUGGCGUUGCCAUAGUGACGUCAUAGGCACAGAUCCCCUGUCCUCUUGUUUGGAAAUGGAAAUAUGGUCACCCUAUAUUAAACAAACUGUCCACCCGGGCUUUUGCGCUGCACAGAGACGCUUCGCUGCCUACGACUGAACGUCAGUUGAGAGUCAGUCUCAUGCAGACUGACCAAUGAAGAGACGGCCUCAAGUUAAGACCCUCUCCUCAUUGGUCAGUCCACACAAGGUGGGUCAAAGGUUACCCUGAGCGGGUUACGUGAUGUCAGGCAUUCAAGUAUUGAGUAUAUUUACUGCAUAUUACAGUAAAAUAUUCUGUAUGUGACCAUAUUAUGGUGAUCCUUGGGUCGUGAUGAUGGGGCCCUUGAAUAUUGUUGCCCAGGGUACAACAAAGUCUUAAUCUGGCCCUGCUAAUAUACAUGCAGCUCUAUGCUAAAAGUGUAUUUUCAAAGAGGUAAUGAUGGAUUUCUUUGUAAAAGUUGUCCAUCUUUCCAACAGAAAGAUUUGCCUGGACCAACGUAACGUGAUAACAACGUAACGUGAUUACGUAACUUCCGUAAUGUUCAGCCAAUCAACUACUUAGACGUCAUCGGCAGUCGACGGACCCCGAGCCAAUUUUGCACCCGAGCAGAUCCUGUACCGACACCGGCUUUGCUGACAGGCGGCCCUAGGGCUCCAUCUGAUGAACAGGGUGCAAAAUAAAAAGUUUAUUAAGUUUAUGUUUGUUAUAUGAAAUGCGCUCUCUACACACUCAAAAUUCCACUCUGAAAUGACAUGAAAUUAAAACAUCAAAAUUUAAAUUCUAAUAAUCUGGCUGCAUUUCGAGCUCCCGCUUGGGCCACCGCUCCGAUGCAUUUGACCGUUAAGGGUGCCAUAGAUCACGUGUGUGGGUAGCACAGAAGGACAUCCUGUUGUUGUCGCGUUUAAACUUUUGAUAUUUUACGAUGAAAAGAACACCUAAGCCAUCGGGAUCAGCAUUCCCAAAGCGAAGGAAGGAAGAAGAAUAAAAACGGGCCCAAAGCAGAGCGUCUUCAUCCAGGCAUCACGCAGCAGCAGCACAUUUACUGAGCUACAGUCUCAGCAUCUAGAACCAGAAGAAGAACCCAACACCAGCAGACUCAGUGCUCCACUCCAACAGCCUGAAGAGACACCAUCAUCAGCUUCAACAGAUGUGUGUGAACAUGUAGGAGCUGCUGGCCCCAUGGAUCCUGCUGACUGGCCACAGCAGUAGAACAAAAUUGAAAGUAGAACUUUCUUUAUGAUGACACUUUGAUGUUUGAGUUUUGCUUUUGAUUGCACAGUUUAAUGCUGCUGUUGAUUUUGCACCCCC